rnacentral:rRNA from 1 species
CCUACGGGUGGCAGCAGUGGGGGAUAUUGCACAAUGGGGGGAACCCUGAUGCAGCGACGCCGCGUGGGUGAAGGAGUGCUUCGGCAUGUAAAGCCCUAUCGGCAGGGAAGAAGCAAGACGGUACCUGACUAAGAAGCCCCGGCUAACUACGGGCCAGCAGCCGCGGUAAUACGUAGGGGGCGAGGGGUAUCCGGAUUCCCUGGGGGUAAAGGGGGGGUAGACGGCCAUGCAAGCCAGGGGUGAAAGCCCGGGGCCCAACCCCGGGCCUGCCGUUGGAACUGUGCGGCUAGAGUGCGGGAGGGGCAGGCGGAAUUCCUGGUGUAGCGGUGAAAUGCGUAGAUAUCAGGAGGAACACCAGUGGCGAAGGCGGCCUGCUGGGCUCUAACUGACGCUGAGGCACGAAAGCGUGGGUAGCAAACAGGAUUAGAUACCCGGGUAGUC